ensembl:ncRNA mir-125 mir-125 stem loop
GACAUGUGCAAAUGUUUGUAUGGCUGAUUCCCUGAGACCCUAACUUGUGACUUUUAAUACCAGUUUCACAAGUUUUGAUCUCCGGUAUUGGACGCAAACUUGCUGAUGUU